UAUGUGAUCGUCUCUCGCAUAUCAAUAAGCGGAGGAAAAGAAACUAACAAGGGAUUCCCCUAGUAACGGCGAGUGAAGCGGGAAGAGCUCAAAUUUGAAAUCUUAAAGGUUUUCCCUUGACGAAUUGUAGUUUAAAGAAGUGUUUUCUGUUGAAGGUUUUGGUAAAAGUUCUUUGGAAUAGGACAUCAUAGAGGGUGAGAAUCCCGUAUUUGACCAUUUACUUUCAGCUUUGUGAUACACUUUCAAAGAGUCGGAUUGUUUGGGAAUGCAGUCCAAAAUGGGUGGUAAAUUUCAUCUAAAGCUAAAUAUUGGCGAGAGACCGAUAGCGAACAAGUACCGUGAGGGAAAGAUGAAAAGAACUUUGAAAAGAGAGUUAAACAGUACGUGAAAUUGUCAAAAGGGAAGCGUUUGACACCAGUGUUGUUUUUCUGAAAAUCAAUUAAAGGACUGUUUAUGCUAAGUUGUUUAGACUUUAUCAGCUAACUGUUUAGUUUUGAGCUUUUCUUUAAUGCACUUUUCAGUUAGCAAGUCAACAUCAAUUUCUUUUGCUGUAAAAAAGCUUGAGGAAGGUGGCUUGAGAUUCGUCUUAAGUGUUUAUAGCCUCUUGCCUAUGCAGUCGGAGAGAUUGAGGUCUGCAGCGUAGAUCCUUCGGGGCUAAAUGCAUUUGUGCUAAGUUAUAGCAUUUUAUAGACAACUUGUUGACUAUGAUUUGUCUUGUAGCUUACUCGCUUAUGUUAUUUUACCUACGCUUAGGAUGUUGAGUCAUCACACAUCUCU
rnacentral:rRNA from 1 species